rnacentral:lncRNA from 1 species
AUGAUAGUUCGGCAAAGCAACACUUGGCCACGCUCUUUCAGCAGCAUGGUAAGUGGCUACACAAGGCAAAAUACUCCUUUUGUCUGCAAAGUCUAGAAAUGCUUGGAACUAAGGCAUUUUGAUGUACUAUGUUGUCUUAGCUGUUGAAAAACUGCAGAAUAAUGGAGGAGAAAUUCAUGAAAUAGGUGAGAAAGCUUAGCUAUAGUUUUCUGAGCUCUACUCGGUGGAAAAGCGUUUUAUCCAUCAUGUUGUGUUGCAAUGGUAGCGUUAUGUUCCAAUGUGAACCUGCCAUUGAAGGAAGCAUUGUCUGCUACAUCUCUUUCCAACUCCACUUACAAAGACAGUCACCGCUGUCAACACUAUCUAUCGUUUUCCGCCUCCCAAUGUGCCCACAAAUGUGUAACUGCAGGUACCGUUUCUCUCCCUCCCUCCCUCUCUCUCGUUCUCUCUCUCUCUCUCUCUCAUUAUUAGCAAUGUCUAAUUGCUCAAGUUUUAUUUAUGUACCUGAUGCCCAGACAGAAAACAAAUGGAACUGCAGCAAUGCGUUUGCGUACAAUGAACUCCACUGUCAACUUUGUACCCACUCUCAAUCAAUCAUCUUUGAAUGAAGUCCACUUCUGAGAGGGACAACUGGGGCCUGGUGUUUCAGCAUGAAACUCAUAAUCCACAAUGUCUGGUCUCUGAACUCAUGGCUGUUACACCACAACCC